ensembl:lncRNA
CGCACGUGGAACAAGCCGAGGCGGAGGCGAGCGACCACGAUUCCUCAAAUGUCUCCCCGCGAUCCCGCGAGGAACCUGCUGAUCACCUGAUCCAAAUGAGGCGGGGAAGGGAAACUCCUUGCCUUGAUCCGUGCGCGAGGAAAACAAAACCCCCUCAAAAAAACAGGAGGACUCGUAGAACCGCGGCAGUUGCGCUGCUAAUCUUGCGUAGCCGCGUCUCUGGCUUUCGCAUUACAGCGUCGGAUAAACAAGACGGCGUCGACUCGUGGUGGUUUCUCUCUUGUCGGCGUCGCACACAUCUGACCUCCGGUGACAAACGCCCAACUUUGCAUUUGCUGAAAGGAACAAAGGCCGAACGACGAGACGGUGCAAUAAAAACAACCGGAUCGAAGGCAACUGGAAGUGAUGAAGGACUCGCUCACACUUACGUCGACGCGCGUUUCGAAUCACAGUGAUGUACGAUCCGCGGCCAUCAGCCAGGCCGACAUUGAUCAGGAGCGGCUGCCAGCGCGCCGUCAAAUCAAUCACGGCGAUUGAUUCAGCAGCUCGAGGAGAAUGCAUGAAUGCAUGAAUGCAUGAAUGCACGGCGCAGGGUUUAACGUUGAGCACCGCAAGAAGAACACGUCGAUGUGACGUUAACAACCAUCACCCUUGAUCAUGACGGUAUCGGUAUCAUAUUAUUAAUAAGUCAGAGAAGGUUGAUCCGAAUCUCAGGGGACGGGUUUGGAGGAGAGACGAGCGGCUGCACGUCCCGACACACACUGGCGAGAGUGAUC